AAGACUAAACUCUGGAUCCUUGAACCAGUUUUCCACACCUUUCCACAUUAAAGUUAUGUUAACAAUGUAGUGACCAAGACUACCAUAUCCGUAAAUCCAAACUUGAUGAAAUUCUUGAUGCAGGUUGGAAUUCCAUCUGAUAGUUUGUUUCUGGAAAGAUCCAGCACUUGUAUGUGCUCUAAGUGACAGAGAUGCAUAGAAAGAUUUCCAGAGAAGUGAUUUUCUGACAUGCUCAAGAGAAUCAAUUGUUGAAGGUUGUCACCAAUCCAAAAGGGAAUUGGCCCAGACAACAAAUUUUUUGCCACGUCCAACACAAAUAAAUUGGUGCAAUUCUUAAGACUUGAAGGUAGUUCUCCCAUCAAGCUAUUGUUUCUUAAGACCAAAGCUUCCAAUUUGUUAAGGGAGCCCAUGGAUGGUGGGAUCUUCCCUGACAAAUUAUUAUUGCUUAGAUCAAGAAACAAUAAUGUGUUUACAGAUCCCCAACAAUCUGGAAGUUGUCCAUUUAUUUGAUUGUUUGUUAAAUCUAGACUGACGAGCGAGCUUGUAGCAGUAGUGCUGUUGUCACACAACAGUGAUGACACAUCUGAAAAUUUAUUUUCAGAGAGAAUCAACCACCAUGCAUGCUGCAAAAACGAUGGAAUUGUACCCUCAAAUUGAUUUGAACUCAAAUCUAUAUAUGCUCCGGGGACGGAUAACCUUGGCGGUAAACUUGGAAUAGCACCUAUAAAAUUGUUGUGGGACAUAUUCAAAUGGUAUC